CAUGCGGCGUGGACCUCUGCGCAUGUGCAGAAGGUAAAAAUUAGGUUACUUCCUGGUUAAAAUCAGGAAGUAACGACCGGGUGGGUGGGCGGAGCCUCGUGCUGCCAUCACUACCGGUUCUCCGAACCACCCACCGCCAUCACUACUGGUUUGGCUGAACUGGUACGAACAGGUAGCAUUUCACCCCUGGGCAUGACCACAUGACUAGUGCAUGAAUUGGCAAAUUUAAUCAAUUAAAUCAUUGUUUAUAAUUAUUUUAAAUAAUUGUCAAUGUGAUUCUGUAAAUUUAUUGUUUGACAGUUAAAUUUUGAGCAUAUCCAGACACAUACUUAAGGAUCAUAUAUACAGACUGCCAGAGGUGUCAAUUGUAAGGUCAAAAAAGUCAAGAUGGCAGCCACAACUAUAAGAGCAAAUUGGAUUGUUAUUGACAGAAACGAACCUGGCAACUGGACAAUUGGACAACGAAAGCCACAAAUUGUUGUAGACAAAGAAAAAGCAGUGGAAUACCUUCAUUUAUGGAUAUAUAUCCUCCCUAUGGUAAUAAAAAAAAAAAAUGAUAUGGGGAAAAAACAGCCUUGGAUAUACUGAUUUUUAAAAUGUCUGCCUUGCCCCAAAGAAGACUCUCUGACUGUUCAUGUUCCUUUUCAUUUUAAUAAUCGUAAGUUGCAGCAUGACUGCUGCUGAAUUUUUUUUCUUUCAGCAGAGACCAAAGUCAAAAGUCAAAAAGUUGCUUUCCCAUAGCUGUUCAAUACAAGCUGUGAUUACAUCACAUGCAUUGCAUCACCAUGCAAUUUAGAUAAAUCACAUCUUCAGUAUGACAUCAUUAUGACUUCAUGAGGCCUGAGACACCGCUUAAUCCCAUAUUGCUCUCUCUGAAUCUUCUGGUGACACGAACAACUUGCAUAGCACUGACAAAAAAACCCAAAGACCAUGUUUCCAUGAGAACUAUAUUCCAAUUAUAUGUAACCAAAUUCCCUAUUUUUUUAAAUAAAUACUAUUAACAAAUACUAAGAGCCCACUGUUAGUUCAUAUUGUUCUUCACAGUUGUGGAUUCACUAUGGUGGAUUCUUAUUUAUUUCACUUUUUUGGGGAGAAUGGGUUACUCAGAUUGCUUUGCUCUAACUUUCCUUGCAGGUCAGUUCUACUGGGCUUUUCUUCCUAUUUUUCACCAAAACAGGAAUUUGUGCAAUAAAUUUUAUUGAUCAUCUAUUUUAUUCACAGUAUUGAUGUAUUAUUUGCCAUUUUAAAACGGCAGUGGAGCAGAAUGAAACAAUAAAUGAAGUGUGUCUGGA